UCGUAACAAGGUUUCCGUAGGUGAACCUGCGGAAGGAUCAUUACCGAGUGCGGGCUGCCUCCGGGCGCCCAACCUCCCACCCGUGACUACCUAACACUGUUGCUUCGGCGGGGAGCCCUCUCGGGGGCGAGCCGCCGGGGACUACUGAACUUCAUGCCUGAGAGUGAUGCAGUCUGAGUCUGAAUAUAAAAUCAGUCAAAACUUUCAACAAUGGAUCUCUUGGUUCCGGCAUCGAUGAAGAACGCAGCGAACUGCGAUAAGUAAUGUGAAUUGCAGAAUUCAGUGAAUCAUCGAGUCUUUGAACGCACAUUGCGCCCCCUGGCAUUCCGGGGGGCAUGCCUGUCCGAGCGUCAUUGCUGCCCAUCAAGCCCGGCUUGUGUGUUGGGUCGUCGUCCCCCCCGGGGGACGGGCCCGAAAGGCAGCGGCGGCACCGUGUCCGGUCCUCGAGCGUAUGGGGCUUUGUCACCCGCUCGAUUAGGGCCGGCCGGGCGCCAGCCGACGUCUCCAACCAUUUUUUUCAGGUUGACCUCGGAUCAGGUAGGGAUACCCGCUGAACUUAAGCAUAUCAAUAA
rnacentral:misc_RNA from 2 species